CUUAGAGACCCCAAAGUAAAGAGAGUUCUGGGCUUGUGAAACAUGUAUUAUUCAGGAAAAUGGUGGUGGAAAGGAUCUUUGCCUGCCUGUUGAGCCCUACAAUUUAUUGCACCACCCUCAACAGCGGCACAGAGCAUCUGGAGGAUGUCAGGCAGCUCAGACACUGACUGGCUGGGACCCACUGGCUGUUGACACUACAGGCAACGUGUGUACAACACCCUCAACAAAAUUUAUAUUGUGUAAACUCACUGCUGUCAGGAAAGACUCAUAUCCCUCUAAAAGCCCUUGCAGCAAAUGGUAAAAGCCACAAUAAUAACAGCCAAAAAAACAGAGACACAUACCAGAACGUGUCCUGGAGCCUGUAUUCACUGACCUAUCUCUCUGCCCUCAAAUUCCUUGCCUGUGAAAAGAGUUGACUCAACAAAGUUAAGUGGUGUAAGCUCAAAGAGCCCACAGGGCACAUACAGAAAUGAUCAGUGGUUUGGAAAUUCUCAGGCAUCUCUCCCAUUCAAGAAGGAAAAACUUAAACUGCUUUUUUUCCACUUGAAUGUUAGAUUACACAAUGGAGUUUCAGAAGUAUACAGCUGUUCCUAUGCUGUAGAUGUGCAUCGCCUGCUGGAGCUAUUCGUUUCUGACAUCAAAGAUAUGAGAAAGAGAUAUCAGAUAUCAUUCCAGAUAUCAGAAAGAGAUAGCACUUUUACAAGAGGAAAAAAAAAGGUAAAUCUUAAUAAAGGUUUGGAAUAAAAAGGAAGUAUCAGCAGGAAAUGAGCAGCAGGAGAGAAAAAUGUUAAAAGACGAUCUACUUCUCUUCCUUUGCUCUCCUUUACAUUAACUGAGCUGACUACAAAUACGAUCAUGUCUUUCAGCUUUCCCAGUAUUGCUCAGUAAUUAAAAAGCAAUGCAAAGUUUGUGAAUCAAACAGACAUUGUCCUCCUAAUGGGCUCAAAUUCAGAGUAAUACUUCCUCUCACAUGCAUGUUGUUUUUUCUUCCUCAAAAAAAUAGACCAGUUCUUCCAAAGCUUUUUUAUUUGUUUUCCUCCAAAGAAGGCUGAAGAAAUGCCAGGACUUGGCACUGCAAUAAUGAACAGUGUGAACAGCUUUGGACAUGGUCAAGUAGGAAACAUGCAGAUGGAAAGCAAACUGGCCGAGCACUAAAAGACAGGACUGGAUUCAUAUAUCCUCUCAGAUCAUUUGGAACAGUGAGGAAAAAAAUAUUUACUUCAAUUUAUGAAACAACAUUCUGACACAAUCCUUUCACCUAUGAAAGUUAUACAGAGAUACACUUCCUUCCUGUGGAUGGGAAAGACGGAAUUUAAUAUGGCAUAUCACUUCUGGGAGGGCCACUGACUUUUACAGAAAAAAAAUUGAGCAAGACUGUUUCAGCUAUAUCUGUAAAAGCAUGGAUUUUACCCACUUUAUCUUCUUUAUCACAGUCUAAUUCUUAGCUUAGCGAUAAAAUCCCCUGGUGCUUUCCCCUUUAUAUACACUUAAUUGCCAAUUCCCCACUCUCCAUGGGACUGGAAAGUGCAAACUCCCCACACACAAACAGUGCUAAAAUUAGAGAUGACACUGACUCCGCAGACUUGUGAUAGUAACAAGAAACCGUUCUUCAAGCGCUUUGCAUACAAUGGUUUCUUUAUUUACCUUUAAGAGUCUGCAAGUGGGUGAGCUGUUUGGACUGGGAAUCUGGCUUUUUUAGCUGGCUGCGCAUGGGGAAAAAAUGAUGUGAAACAUCCAUACUGGAUAUGGUUGGUCCACAGGAAGGACUGGUGUUUUUCUCACUACUGUAUUUAAUAUGAAACUGUUUAAAGAUUGCCUCUUCAUGUUGAAUAGCAUCUUUUAUAUAGCAUCUUUUAUACUCCAUGUACCCCCAGAGAAGCAGGUUUAAUCUGCUUUAUACAGCACAGUGACUGUGUAAGGGAAGUACAGCAGCCAAUAUACUCUCAACAAUAUUUCUCUAUGCCGUGCUAGGCUGUAUUUACCUGGAAGAAAAGGCAGGAGGCAGGUUGCCCUCAACCUUUCUGCCAUGGAACUGUCACAUGGACAUCACCAGGAAGGAUAGUGGCCACAUCUGAAGGGUGGCUCCUCAAGAAGUGCUACUAUCAGUACUGUGAAAGAGCCUAAAUUCUGUGUAAUGGAGGAUUUGUACAUUCAUUCAGCUAAUACAAACUGCUACUGAGUGAGUCAAUGCCAUUUACAUUUAACAAAAACAUAUGCAGGUAAAGUUGGCUUGGUACAUGUCAUUCUUUCAGCCACCAGAGAUGCAGGCUAGCCCAGGCUCAGCUACUGGCUUUCCUUGUACAACUGAAAGUUACCACUUACUUAAAUCAUAAAUAUUCUAGCAUACUAAAUCUGCAAGUAAGACACAUUAGCCUUCCACUAGAACUGUCUGUGGAAAAGCUUUAUUUCCAGAAAUGCAUGACGGAUUCGAAUAUUGAUAUAAAUUACCAGACCUACCAAUGGAAAAUUACAGUGUCAGAAUCUGAGCUGGGACCCAAAUUCUGAUUUCCCUGUUCUCAGCUGCAAAGUCCCCAGAAGUAGGUGGCAGGACAAAGCUUAUUUCCCUCACACUAGAGAAUGUUAAUGUCCCAUAACCUUUUGAAACUUGUUCAAUAAAUGCAUUAUAAAGAAAAGAGCAAUCACUUUUAUGUAAAUUAUAGUUGCAUUAUAUCAUAGUAUAUAUUUUGGCAGACUGUGUAUUUCUAUAUAAUACUGCUGGUGAAGGCAGCUGUAUCUUCUAACACAAAACUGGCAAGUUUUCCUUUCUAAAGUUUCAUUUCUCCAUUUCAAACAGAAAGUAUCUGUCCUGAUACAUCCACAGCCCCAAAAGCACUGAGUGCAUCACUUGUCUGCACAAUGUUGGCAAAUUUAAAAGCCUGCAUUUCCCCUUUAAAAAAGUCUUCAAAUGGGAAAAUAACUUUGCAGACAGCAAAACUCAGCACAGCUUGAGCCCACUAAAGGAACUUUCUUGAUUUUACUUGAAAAAGGGAUAAAAAAUGCUUGAAACUCCAAAAUUAUGUGAAGUCACACAUCCAUGUAACUGUCAACACUGAUGAAGACUUACUUGUAUACUUCAUCCUCACUAGGAAAAUAAAUAUAUCCUUAUCCUGUAAUCACUAAUGUGUGAUAACUACUGUGAAGUGAAAUCCUAGUGCAGAUUGGAUAGCUGUAGUUUUAAAGCAGGUUAGCAGGUCAGGAAAGAUGCAGACUCCCCUGUACUACUUACUGUCUGCUGACAGUAAAUGCUACAAGCCAGCUUAUCUGCACUAGCACAUUAUCGUAUAUUAGGUAGCAAAACUGAACGAGAUUGCUGUAUGAUCAUAGUGUCUUCCAAAGAAAGUAUAUAUCUGUGGUGUGUCUACACUUCAGCUUAAUUCUAGUAUGGACAGAAAGUUUGUUCACAAUCUGUUUACUUGUGUUUACUUGUGCAGUCUUUCAAUGACAUACACGACUAAAAAUUGAAAUGCAGACAUAUCUGAAAGGCAGAAAAAUCCCAAAUGUUACUUUCUGUGUACAUGAUCUGUCAACUUAGUGGUUGCCAUUUUGAUAGAAAAAUAUACCCAGAGAUGGUGAUGGCUGCUUGAUAGAUGCAGUAGGCUUAAAAAGGACUACAGAGAGUGUUAAGUAAAAAGCAUGCAAAUACAUAAUUUAUAUACAAAUGCUAAUGCUGUAAGAGAAGAUUUAAGACUCUUUCCGUGGGGAUUGGGGAAGAUAUUAUUUUCCUUUACUGUUCUUAACACAGACUUCACAGUUGUUCACAAAAAGGAACUGCACGUGUUACACACUCCAACUACCCCCAUCCUCAGCUUUUUACAGCUCCAGCAAGUGUAAGAGAAGUCUUCAGUUACUGAAGUUCAUUCUGUAGCUUAGCAGAAUGAAUGUGGGCCCAGACACCAAAACAAAGUGUGAAGAAACACAGUGAUAACUUGGUUCCUAGCUCACUCACUCUCUAAGCUGCUCUAUAUGCAAAUUUCCCCUCAGACCUUUCAUGAGACAGGAUGGUUAAAGUAUCAUCUAGGACAGUUGAUACUCUGUGUGAAAAAUAAUCCUAAACUGAAUUUGUUUUUGACGGAUUGGAUUUUUCAGAGAUACUCUGGGAUUUCUUCAGCUCAAGGCAGAAAAAAGCUGUCCAGCUGUAGGCAACACUAAGUUGUGGAAGUGAAUCUGGAUCCAACAGGGAGAGGUCUGUCCAAUUCAUAUGUAAUUAAUAAAUAACCCACUGCCUGUA